ensembl:lncRNA
GAGAGGAGGAGGAGGGAGAACCAGUCUAGUAUAGAUACAUUAGAGAGGAGGAGGAGGGAGAACCAGUCUAGUAUAGCUACAUUAGAGAGGAGGAGGAGGGAGAACCAGUCUAGUAUAGCUACAUUAGAGAGGAGGAGGAGGGAGAACCAGUCUAGUAUAGCUACAUUAGAGAGGAGGAGGAGGGAGUACCAGUCUAGUACAGCUACAUUAAAGAGGAGGAGGAGGGAGAACCAGUCUAUGAUAGAUAUAUUAGAGAGGAGGAGGAGGGACAACCAGUCUAGUAUAGAUACAUUAUUGAGAAUAGGAGAAGGGAAAACCAGUAUAGUAUAGAUACAUUAGAGAGGAGGAUGGAAAACCAGUCUAGUACAGCUACAUUAGAGAGGCGGGGGAGAGAGAACCUGUCUAGUACAGCUCCAUUAAAGAUGAGCGAGAUCCAGUCUAGUAUAGCUACAUUAGAGAGGAGGAUGGAGAACCAGUCAUGUACAGCUAUAUUAGACAGGAGGAGAGAGAACCAGUCUAGUAUAGCUACAUUAGAGAGGAGGAGGGAGAACCAGUCUAGUACAGCUACAUUGAAGAGGAGGAGGAGUGAGAACCAGUCUAGUAUAGAUACAUUAGAGAAGAGGAGGAGGGAGAACCAGCCUAGUAUAGAUACAUUAGAGAGGAGGAGGAGGGAGAACCAGUCUAGUAUAGCUACAUUAGAGAGGAGGAGGGAGAACCAGUCUAUUAUAGAUACAUUAGAGAGGAGGAGGGAGGACCAUUCUUGUACAUCUACAUUAGAGAGGCAGAGGAGAGAGAACCAGUCUAGUACAGCUCCAUUAAAGAGGAGGGAGAACCAGUCUAGUAUAGCUACAUUAGAGUGGAGGAGGAGGGGGAACCAGUCUAUUAUAGAUACAUUAGAAAGGAGGAGGGAGGACCAUUCUUGUACAUCUACAUUAGAGAGCAGGUGGAGAGAGAACCAGUCUAGUACAGCUACAUUAGAGAGGAGGAGGGAGAACCAGUCUAGUAAUGCUACAUUAAAGAGGAGGAGGGAGUACCAGUCUAGUACAGCUAUUUUACAGAGGAGGAGGAGGAGGGAUAACCAGCCUAGUAUAGUUACAUUAGAGAGGAGGAGGAGGGAGAACCAGUCAAGCAUAUAUACAUUAGAGAGGAGGAGGAAAAACCAGUCUAGUACAGCUACACUUGAGAGGCGGAGGAGGGAGAACCAAUCUAGUACAGCUACAUUAAAGAGGAGGAGGAUGGAGAACCAGUCAUGUACACCUAUAUUAGAGAGGAGGAGGAGGGAGAACCAGUCUAGUACAGCUACAUUAGAGAGGAGGAGGGAGAACCAGUCUAGUAAUGCUACAUAAGAGAAGAAGAGGAGGGAGAACCAGUCUAGUACAGCUACAUAGGAGAGGAG